rnacentral:rRNA from 1 species
GACGAACGCUGGCGGCGCUGCUUAACACAUGCAAGUCGAACGGAAAGGCCCUGCUUUUGUGGGGUGCUCGAGUGGAGAACGGGUGAGUAACACGUGAGUAACCUGCCCUUGACUUUGGGAUAACUUCAGGAAACUGGGGCUAAUACCGGAUAGGAGCUCCUGCUGCAUGGUGGGGGUUGGAAAGUUUCAGCGGUUGGGGAUGGACUCGCGGCUUAUCAUCUUGUUGGUGGGGUAGUGGCUUACCAAGGCUUUGACGGGUAGCCGGCCUGAAAGGGUGACCGGCCACAUUGGGACUGACAUACGGCCCAGACUCCUACGGGAGGCAGCACUGGGGAAUAUUGCACAAUGGGCGGAAGCCUGAUGCAACAACGCCGCGUGCGGGAUGACGGCCUUCGGGUUGUAAACCGCUUUCGCCUGUGACGAAGCGUGAGUGACGGUAAUGGGUAAAGAAGCACCGGCUAACUACGUGCCAGCAGCCGCGGUGAUACGUAGGGUGCGAGCGUUGUCCGGAUUUAUUGGGCGUAAAGGGCUCGUAGGUGGUUGAUCGCGUCGGAAGUGUAAUCUUGGGGCUUAACCCUGAGCGUGCUUUCGAUACGGGUUGACUUGAGGAAGGUAGGGGAGAAUGGAAUUCCUGGUGGAGCGGUGGAAUGCGCAGAUAUCAGGAGGAACACCAGUGGCGAAGGCGGUUCUCUGGGCCUUUCCUGACGCUGAGGAGCGAAAGCGUGGGGAGCGAACAGGCUUAGAUACCCUGGUAGUCCACGCUGUAAACGGUGGGUACUAGGUGUGGGGUCCAUUCCACGGGUUCCGUGCCGUAGCUAACGCUUUAAGUACCCCGCCUGGGGAGUACGGCCGCAAGGCUAAAACUCAAAGGAAUUGACGGGGCCCCGCACAAGCGGCGGAGCAUGCGGAUUAAUUCGAUGCAACGCGUAGAACCUUACCUGGGUUUGACAUGGAUCGGGAGCGCUCAGAGAUGGGUGUGCCUCUUUCGGGGUCGGUUCACAGGUGGUGCAUGGCUGUCGUCAGCUCGUGUCGUGAGAUGUUGGGUUAAGUCCCGCAACGAGCGCAACCCUUGUUCACUGUUGCCAGCACGUUAUGGUGGGGACUCAGUGGAGACCGCCGGGGUCAACUCGGAGGAAGGUGGGGAUGACGUCAAGUCAUCAUGCCCCUUAUGUCCAGGGCUUCACGCAUGCUACAAUGGCUGGUACAGAGAGUGGCGAGCCUGUGAGGGUGAGCGAAUCUCGGAAAGCCGGUCUCAGUUCGGAUCGGGGUCUGCAACUCGACCUCACGAAGUCGGAGUCGCUAGUAAUCGCAGAUCAGCAACGAUGCGGUGAAUACGUUCCCGGGGCU